GCCGGAGCGAGAGCCGGGGCAGCAGCCAGAGCGAGAGCCGGAGCGAGAGCCGGCGAUAAAUAAAAUCACAAUAUUUCGGGAUGCUGCCCCUUAUGCAGAACACGGAGCGAAGUGCAUCAACAUACUUUUGAGAAAUGUUGUAUGAGCAUCAUCACCAACCUUGGAUUGAUCUUUAAUCUGUAAUUAUACUGUUUCUAACGGACGAAGACUGUGGAAAACUUUGUUUCUUUGCUUUUGUAAUUUGUAAUGAGAGUUUUAAAGAAAUGCUUCUGUCAUGGUAUAUAUUUCUGUGUUGAGCCUUCAGCCUUCAGCACCCAGUAUUCUGUAGAGGUCAGUCUGGUGCUAUAACUAAAUGUUUAACUGCUGAAUCAAAUUAUAAUGCAGGUGAAAAGCUUUAAAUGUCUCUGUGAUAACUUGGCACGACAGCGACACCCUGAACAGGAAGGUCAGAAUGUGCAACUGCAGGCUAUUUUUAAUAAUGUUACACUAUAAACAAGAGAAAUGAAGCUCUCUGUGAUGACUUUUUCAUGGUGAAGAUAUUAACUUUUCAUUUUUACCAGUGUAGCAGUCGACUCCUGCAGGACAUGUUACAGCCUUUAGCUUAAAAAACGUAAAAACCCUGCAGAAGUGCCCAGUUUGUUCUGUGGUGUACUGGAUGGUUUAUUGGCACCGCCUGUGAUGAGCUCUUUAUUAUGAACACCAGGGAGCGCACACACAGUGUAUCUCAUGAUGUUGUUUGCAAACAUGUAAUUUUCUCUUUUAAUCAUUGAACUGUAUCAUUGUGUUUCACAUUUAAUUUACUGUUUGUCUUAUUAUUGUACUAAUAAACUCAAAGGAAGCUUCCACUAAACCAUGAAGAGAAACUG